CUCGAUCGGGAUUUGAACUCGAGCCCACCAACCAGGUAGUUAAAAAAAAAGCACUCUACCACCAGAGCUAUCGCAUUGCUUAUGAACCCUCUAUGCAAACAGAUACUAAUAUAGGCGAGCAUGUAUAUACGUAUACGCAUACUUACAUACAAUACAUACAUAGCAGGCGUUGCGUUUUUCCCAAACAAAAAUAUUUCUUUAAUAAGAAACACAAUUUUUAUUUAAAAUUAUUGUAAAUACGAUUAAAAAAAAAAAAGUUUAUACCCCGAAACCGAGAUACAAAUAUAGAGGCGAGCAUCCAAAUUUUCAGGAAUCACAAAUACCAUUGUUAUUAUUGUAUAUACCAAAAUUCGUCUAGCUUAGAUAUUACUUUUGUUAUUAUUGAUUUGCGGGAGCAGAAGUGGACGUGAAAAAAAUUUGAAACAAACUUGAUCUGCGUGCAAACAUCAAGUGCUGUCGAAAAAAUUAUAUAUAUAUAAUAAACGUAACAAUAUGACAGCUUACCGUUGUUGUGUUUUGUGUGCACUGCUUUCCAUAAUUUUCGUAAGCAGAUCCUGGCUUUUGGAUUGUACUACUUUCUUCUAAAUCUACUGCUGCCUCAUUGAAG